GUAGAAAAAUUGUCAAUUGUUAUCCAAACUCCAUAGUUAUGGCAGUAGUUGAAGAAAAAGGUCAAGAGAAGCACACUGAAGAUGGCACAGUAGACUUACAAGGUAGACCUGUUUUAAGAUCAAAAUCUGGAAGAUGGAAAGCAUGUUCUUUUAUAGUAGGUAUGAAAUAUUUGUGAGAAUGACUUAUUUUGGGAUAGCAACAAAUUUAGUUGUGUAUCUUACAAACAAGCUUCACGAGGGUACUGUGGAAUCUUCAAACAGCGUUAGCAAUUGGUCGGGUUCGGUUUUAUUGAUGCCGGUUGUAGGAGUUUACGUAGCUGAUGCCUAUCUUGGUCGAUAUUAGACCUUCGUAAUUUCAUCAUGCAUUUAUCUCAUGGUAAGACCUGAGAAUUAUUCUUACUAUUUUUUUAAAUUUAAUAGUCUAAUGACUGAAAUUUCACCUUAUGAAGAUGAAUAAAUGAGAUGUCGUGAGUUUGAACCCGCGUGCCCUACAGCCGAAUGUCCCUGCGCAACUCACCGCUUUUGGCACCCCCACAGUCCAAUUGAAUCAGUCUUGGGCCUUGUUGCCCACACCACCAUUUCAUUGUUUAGCCUACUGUUGUUUGGGCUUGCACCCCCUCAGUCUUUGCCCAUUCCGUUUUCUGAAUCCAUUAACUUGCUUUUUUGUGGAUCUUUAGUUAAGUAGGGUCUGGUUUAGUUGAUUAAGAUUUGGUUUGGUUAAUUGGAAUUUAGUUAGUUAAUUAGGAUAUAGUUUAGAUUAAUAUUAGGGUUAAGUCUAGGUUAGUUUUUAGGAUUAGAUUAAAUAUUAAUUUUAGAUAUCGAUUUUUGGAUAUUAUGUUAGAAUUGAGUUGUGAAUAUUAUUUUAGAAAUAAUUUUAGAUAUUGAUUUUUUGAAUAAAUCCUAGAUAUUUGUUUUGAAUAUUGUUUAGAAUCGAUUUAGAUCUUUUGAUUUGAUUUCUUUUUUUAAUAGUUUAGAUAUUGAUUUGGAUUUGAUUUUAGAGAUUGUUUUGAUUUUAGAAUUAUUUUGAAUGUCUUUAGAAUAUGGUUUGAUUUGUUGAUUUUAGAGGUGAUUUUAAAAUUUGAUUCUUGAAGUCUUUAGUAUAUACUUGUUUUGAUACAUUUGAAUAUUAAUUUUAGAUAUUAUUUAUAUUUAAUAUUCUAGUAUUGAUUUUAAUUCUCUUAUAUUUCUCAUAUUUCUCUAUAAUACUAAUUUUUUAACAUCUAACAUCUAACUCCUAACUUUUAAUUUUGCACUCUAACUUUUAAUUUCUUGUACCUAACUUCUAACAUUUAACUUUUGUCAUUUUUACUUACUUUGACUUUACUUUGCUUUACACCAUAAUUGUGCAUCCAUCAUCAUUCUUCACUUCAUCUUAAUAAUCGACUUAAAAUGGAUCAACAUAAAAAAUGGAAAAAAGAAAAGAUUAAGACCUAAGCAUAGAAUGGACAAUGGACCAUGGACUUAGAGAUUUCUAUUAGGACACUUGCAUUAGACCUUGGACAAAUAUUAGACCCGAGCACGAAAGGAGCAUUCAAGAAUCAAAGGAAUUGUAAUAUUUUUUGUGUAAUUUCUAGCUUAUGACACAAUUGCACGCACAAGGCUUUCUCCUGGGCUACCUGACAAUGAGACAUUUUAUUUCAUGCAAUCCCUUGUACUUUUCAUGUACCCCCCUCCCCUUUUGGAUGUACACUUUUACUUGCUUUCCUUAUCUUUCUUAUUGCUUGAUUGAUAUCCCUUAGACAUUAGGAGUGAUCACUCUUUCACAUUUAAUAAACAAACCCUUGAUCCAA